UCACAGUUUUGGAGCUGGUAAGAGUCCGGUUGUUUUUCUGUUUCCUACAAUGAUCUGAAUUUGGAGACUUGGUUUAACCUAUUUUUAAUUCCUUCUGUGCAAUUCCUCGAAACAAAGAAAAAAGCAGUGUGUGCCCAUGAAAACAAGGGCUCAGAAGAAAACGUGGGUU
rnacentral:lncRNA from 12 species